rnacentral:rRNA from 1 species
UACGAAGGGGGCUAGCGUUGCUCGGAAUGACUGGGCGUAAAGGGCGCGUAGGCGGCUUGCACCGUCAGAUGUGAAAUUCCUGGGCUUAACCUGGGGGCUGCAUUUGAUACGUGUGGGCUUGAGUGUGGAAGAGGGUCGUGGAAUUCCCAGUGUAGAGGUGAAAUUCGUAGAUAUUGGGAAGAACACCGGUGGCGAAGGCGGCGACCUGGUCCGUGACUGACGCUGAUGAGCGAAAGCCAGGGGAGCAAACGGG